GGACUGCUGAAAAGUCUUAAAAUAGGACGAAACGACCGUCCAGUGC
rfam:Schistosoma mattheei strain Denwood, Zambia genome assembly, scaffold: SMTD_scaffold0000325